AUUUAUAUAGUUUAACAAAACAUUACAUUUUCAUUGUAAAAAUAAAGCAAAACUUUUAUAAGUA
rnacentral:tRNA from 3 species